rnacentral:rRNA from 1 species
GACAGAGGGUGCAAACGUUGUUCGGAAUUACUGGGCGUAAAGCGCGUGUAGGCAGCUCGGAAAGUCGGAUGUGAAAGCCCUGGGCUCAACCUGGGAAUUGCAUUCGAGACUGAAUAGCUAGGGUACGGUAGAGGGAAGUGGAAUUUCCGGUGUAGCGGUGAAAUGCGUAGAUAUCGGAAGGAACAUCAGUGGCGAAAGCGACUUCCUGGACCAGUACCGACGUUCAGGCACGAAAGCGUGGGGAGCAAACAGG